GGAUGUGGCUCAGUGGCACAGCAUCUGCUUUGCAUGCAAGAGGUCUGCAGUUCAAUCCCCAGCAUCUCCA
rnacentral:tRNA from 1 species